rnacentral:lncRNA from 1 species
GGACAGGGCAGCGGCACGCAGCGGCGGGCCAGGCACUGCACGUUGCCGCUCUACGGACCGACAGACGCACCACGGACUCACCCUGAAUUUUUUCUUGUGCAAGAUCCAAGAACCCUUUCUUGGGGUCUGGAUCAGGACUCCUUUCCUGUAACAUCUUUCUGGCGACCACUGAAGGGAUGAUAGUGCGGAAACCCCCGACCCAAAGGCUAAUUUUUGGUCACAAUUGGAGAAACUGGCUAUUUUACCAAGGCUUCGACUGGAAUGGCAUACCUUAAGGAAUCAUGUAAGGAAUCAUGAUUCCUUAAGGAAUCAAAUUUGACUUGUAGAGCCAAUAAAUGCCCCUUGGAGAAACCGGCCUCAUACCUUGCCUACACAGUCUCUGUACAGGGUUUCUGACCUGUGGUAAGUAAAGAAUGUCACUUUCUAACAGGCCCAGGAGCCCCAAGUUAUCUUGGAACCUCAAAAGGAGAGGAAUUUACUCAACUCAUAGGUAUUUUAGGGCACAAACCCAUGGCAAGGCUUGGCUCAAAAAAAAAUCUUAUCUGAGAUUCUUUAUGAAACAGAGUUCCAUCAAAGCCAAUUUCAAAGAGCUUAUAUAAAAAAUAAUCAUUCUUGCGGCACUUUAUACAAAUAAUCAGGCCAAAUAUAAUAAAGCAAGUCAGUGUUACCAUGAUUAGUCUUUAGUAAAAAUGGGAAACUAGAGACAGAAAUAUUAUAUUUCAAGAACUAUGGUAUACUUGUUAUUAAAUUCUAGUCUCAGCAGUUGUUUUUAAGUUUUUGCAAUUUAGACUGAUUGCUUGCUCCUGUGACCCAACCAGAGCUCUCUGGCUGCUGCUCAAAAGAAACAAAAAGGACAGGUUAUGUAAAAAUCUGGAGUCAAUAUUCUAAUUCUGGGCAUGUACUGGAAUCAUCUAGCAACCCCAUAUCAGCUUGGUUCCAACAGUUGCCCAGUUCAUGGAAAGCCUUCUGAUUUAAUUUACUUGAGAUAAUUUUACUGAUUUUGCUUUACUCUUGUGGAAUAUAUUUCUGUUGUACUCUUUGGGUAGGAAUAAGGAUAAGCUUACUCAACGUUUUCUUAAAUUAAACUUUUAUUAA